rnacentral:rRNA from 1 species
AGGAUGCAAGCGUUAUCCGGAUUUAUUGGGUUUAAAGGGUGCGUAGGCGGUAUUGUAAGUCAGUGGUGAAAUCUUGGGGCUCAACCUCAAACGUGCCAUUGAUACUGCAGUACUGGAAUGGGGAUGCCGUUUGCGGAAUGUGUGGUGUAGCGGUGAAAUGCAUAGAUAUCACACAGAACACCGAUUGCGAAGGCAGCAGACGAAUCCUUGAUUGACGCUGAGGCACGAAAGUGUGGGGAUCAAACAGGAUUAGAUACCCUGGUAGUCCACACAAUAAACGAUGAUGACUCGCUGUCGGCGAUACAAUGUCGGUGGUCAAGAGAAAUCGAUAAGUCAUCCACCUGGGGAGUACGACCGCAAGGUUGAAACUCAAAGGAAUUGACGGGGGCCCGCACAAGCGGAGGAACAUGUGGUUUAAUUCGAUGAUACGCGAGGAACCUUACCCGGGCUCGAACGGCUGGUGAACGACACAGAGAUGUGAAGGUCCUUCGGGACGCCAGUCGAGGUGCUGCAUGGUUGUCGUCAGCUCGUGCCGUGAGGUGUCGGCUUAAGUGCCAUAACGAGCGCAACCCUUGCCGUUAGUUACCAUCAGGUAAUGCUGGGGACUCUAACGGGACUGCCGCCGUAAGGUGAGAGGAGGGGGGGGAUGACGUCAAAUCAGCACGGCCCUUACGUCCGGGGCGACACACGUGUUACAAUGGCAGGUACAGAGGGCGGCCAGGCAGCGAUGCCGCGCAAAUCUCGAAAGCCUGUCUCAGUUCGGAUUGGAGUCUGCAACUCGACUCCAUGAAGUUGGAUUCGCUAGUAAUCGCGCAUCAGCCAUGGCGCGGUGAAUACGUUCCCGGGCCUUGCACUCACCGCCCGU